rnacentral:lncRNA from 1 species
GGGCGAGUUGACACAGGUAAAAUUGUCAGUGGCCCUCCUGAACGUGGACUCUUCAACUGGCAGAGUUUUGAAGGAACCUGUGGUGACUGGAGCAAGUAAAGAUCGAGGGGCUUCAAAGUCAGAAGACGCGGACGGUAGCCCUCCAGUACCAGAUCAUCCCAAAGAAUCCCUCACUAGCGACUCUGAUUCCUCAGUUCCUGGGCCACGAAGUACUGACCUUUCCUCUCUUACCCACACCCCUUCAGAUAGAUUUUCGAGCGACCUUAGAUCAGGGUGUGGGGGGCAACAGUUCCUCAAGAGACCACCCCCUAAGAAAGACAGGGAACCCACCACUAAGCGCCCCAAGCUACAUUUUAACCACUUCCCAUAAAUGAAGAGUCAUUGGUCAGACGUGUUCCUCCCACUCAUUGUGGGAGGAAUGUCUGCUGUUCCCUUUAUCUGGUGUUUAAUUUUUAGAACCCUUUACCUACCAAUAGAAUGUGACUGGAGAUGCUGGAUUUUUGUAUAUGGAUCAAUGAUUUGGCACAUAACCAUGUUUAUGUCACUAUUGUUUAAACAUAAACAUGGGAUGAUUGGCUGGUUUAAGUUGUGUAGUGCAGUUGCCAUAUGUCUGAUUAUAGUUUUGGCUCUUUUAGAACAAUACUGCCCAUAUGAGAUGUACAUUGUUCCUGUUAUAUUCAUAAUAAAUAUAGUUUUGCUUUCCA